rnacentral:rRNA from 1 species
UUGAGAGUUUGAUCCUGGCUCAGAACGAACGCUGGCGGCAGGCCUAACACAUGCAAGUCGAGCGAAGCCUUCGGGCUUAGCGGCGGACGGGUUAGUAACGCGUGGGAACGUGCCCUUCACUACGGAAUAGUCCCGGGAAACUGGGUUUAAUACCGUAUACGCCCUUCGGGGGAAAGAUUUAUCGGUGAAGGAUCGGCCCGCGUCUGAUUAGAUAGUUGGUGGGGUAACGGCCUACCAAGUCUACGAUCAGUAGCUGGUUUGAGAGGAUGAUCAGCAACACUGGGACUGAGACACGGCCCAGACUCCUACG